rnacentral:rRNA from 1 species
AUUGAACGCUGGCGGCAGGCUUAACACAUGCAAGUCGAGCGGGGUGAUGGUGCUUGCACUAUCACUUAGCGGCGGACGGGUGAGUAAUGCUUAGGAAUCUGCCUAUUAGUGGGGGACAACAUCUCGAAAGGGAUGCUAAUACCGCAUACGUCCUACGGGAGAAAGCAGGGGAUCACUUGUGACCUUGCGCUAAGAGAUGAGCCUAGGUCGGAUUAGCUAGUUGGUGGGGUAAAGGCCUACCAAGGCGACGAUCUGUAGCGGGUCUGAGAGGAUGAUCCGCCACACUGGGACUGAGACACGGCCCAGACUCCUACGGGAGGCAGCAGUGGGGAAUAUUGGACAAUGGGGGGAACCCUGAUCCAGCCAUGCCGCGUGUGUGAAGAAGGCCUUAUGGUUGUAAAGCACUUUAAGCGAGGAGGAGGCUCUUUUGGUUAAUACCCAAGAUGAGUGGACGUUACUCGCAGAAUAAGCACCGGCUAACUCUGUGCCAGCAGCCGCCGUAA